rnacentral:rRNA from 1 species
UCGAGCGAACAGACGAGGAGCUUGCUCCUCUGACGUUAGCGGCGGACGGGUGAGUAACACGUGGAUAACCUACCUAUAAGACUGGGAUAACUUCGGGAAACCGGAGCUAAUACCGGAUAAUAUAUUGAACCGCAUGGUUCAAUAGUGAAAGACGGUUUUGCUGUCACUUAUAGAUGGAUCCGCGCCGCAUUAGCUAGUUGGUAAGGUAACGGCUUACCAAGGCAACGAUGCGUAGCCGACCUGAGAGGGUGAUCGGCCACACUGGAACUGAGACACGGUCCAGACUCCUACGGGAGGCAGCAGUAGGGAGUCUUCCGCAAUGGGCGAAAGCCUGACGGAGCAACGCCGCGUGAGUGGUUAAGGUCUUCGGAUCGUAAAACUCUGUUAUUAGGGAAGAACAAAUGUGUAAGUAACUAUGCACGUCUUGACGGUACCUAAUCAGAAAGCCACGGCUAACUACGUGCCAGCAGCCGCGGUAAUACGUAGGUGGCAAGCGUUAUCCGGAAUUAUUGGGCGUAAAGCGCGCGUAGGCGGUUUUUUAAGUCUGAUGUGAAAGCCCACGGCUCAACCGUGGAGGGUCAUUGGAAACUGGAAAACUUGAGUGCAGAAGAGGAAAGUGGAAUUCCAUGUGUAGCGGUGAAAUGCGCAGAGAUAUGGAGGAACACCAGUGGCGAAGGCGACUUUCUGGUCUGUAACUGACGCUGAUGUGCGAAAGCGUGGGGAUCAAACAGGAUUAGAUACCCUGGUAGUCCACGCCGUAAACGAUGAGUGCUAAGUGUUAGGGGGUUUCCGCCCCUUAGUGCUGCAGCUAACGCAUUAAGCACUCCGCCUGGGGAGUACGACCGCAAGGUUGAAACUCAAAGGAAUUGACGGGGGACCCGCACAAGCGGUGGAAGCAUGUGGUUUAAUUC